rnacentral:lncRNA from 1 species
CUUUUUAGGGCUGCACCCACAGUAUAUGGAUGUUCCCAGGCUAGCGGUUGAAUCCGAGCUGCAGCUGCCAGCCUAUACCACAGCCAUAGCAAUGCCAGAUCUGAGCUGCCUCUGAGAUCUACACUGCAGCUCACAGCAAUGGGCAAUCCUUAACCCACCGAGCGAGGCCAGGGAUUGAACCUGCGUCCCUAUGGAUCCUACUUGGGUUUGUUAGUGCUGAGCUACAGUGGGAACUCCAAGAAUUAAUAUUGAGAGAAGGAGAUAUACAAGGACAGGGCCAUGCCAAGGGGCACUACUCCUGUGUGUAGGGAGGUGCCUAUAAUUUGGACUUAACAAAAAUACCUAUCAUACCUGAUAAGACUGGUCAAAAGCCACAACUAUCUGUAUAAUAUUUCUAUAUUUUAUAUUGAAUUUAUUAAUGGCAAUUUACACAACAUUAUCUCUUUCCCAUGGGAUGGUAGGGCUCUAUCAAAAUAGGUCAAAAAUCCUUUGCUUUAAAACAGGCAAAAUGUAUAUUCCUAAGUCCAUGAAAUUUAUUUCUUAGAGCCCCAUUUUGUCCAUAAAUUCAGAAGUUACCCCUGAAACAAAAAAUUCUACUCAGGCAUUUUGUGCUGAAGUUGAAACAAUAUGAACACAAAUAUAACAAAUUUAGACCCAAGACUUUUUUUUUUUCUUGAAAAAGCCUUUCCACUUCUGAAGAAAUGUCCUCUCAAGGGACCUGAACAUGUCCAGCCACUGACUUUCUCACAAACAGGAUUUGGAGGGAGCUGGGUUUUCCAUGGUGAAAACAUCCAGAUUCAUCGCAAGAAGAAAAUUUCCCACAACUAGCUAAACUCAAAUCUUUAAGGAAACGGUAUGUUACAUUUCUGAAAUGUUUAUAUCCAGGGUCUCAGAGGCAAAUACAUCGUCCACAUGAUUGGGUAAAUAUUUCUUUUAGAACGUAAACAUAAUUUUUAUUCUGAAAAUCUUAACGACAGAGUUUUUUGGUUUUUUUUUUUUUCCAAGGAAGUUUGGAAUUAAAAAAUAUUUAAGGCAGCCAGCUUUUUGAUUACAUUGCCAAGGAGUCCUAAACUUGAACAUUUACCAAGGAUAUUAGGGAAAGGUCGCAAGAAGACAAUGAUUGACCCCAUGUGAAUUGUCCACGUUCGCCAUAAAAUAUUUCCCAUUCCUCAUAGUUGCAAACUGGCUGGUUAGUGUGUAAAAUCAGUGUGGAUUUGGGGCUGGGCUGAAGGGCUUGCUUGGAGGGCAGCACUGGGUCACACAGAACCGUGUUCUCUGUGACACGCCAGCAAGGCCCACACUCUUGUCUCUGAGGCAGUCACUCUAGAUGGCCCAGAGGGUACGUAAGAGCUCUUGUGCCCAGCACCCAGACUUGGGGUGAUGAAAGCAAAGGAUGUAUUUCCAAGAAUGAUUUGGUCUUUAUUUAUUUAUUUGCUUUUUAGAGCUGCACCCGUGGCUAUGGAGUUUCCCAGGCUAGGGGUCGAAUUGGAGCUACAGCUGCUGGCCUACACCACAGCCACAGCAACGCCAGAUCCGAGCUGUGUCUGUGACCUACACCACAGCUCAUGGCAACGCCGGAUCCUUAACCCACUGAGUGAGGCCAGGGAUCGAACCUCUGUCCUCAUGGAUGCUAGUCAGAUUUGUUUCUGCUGAGCCACGAGGGGAACUUCUGGUUUCAAUUUAAAAUUCAAGACAUGGAAACAANGACUGCUGAGUGUGAUUUGGGCAACAUGUAGUUGGACCAAGGGACAGACAGGUCCCUCUGCUGCUGGCAAGACAGUGCCCAGACAGCCCAGGAGGCGGCCCUCAUGGCUUCAGCAGAGGCUGAGCUGGUCUUCGGGGUCUGAGCACAGUUCAGACACACCUUCAGGGCUUGAGGGGCCCAGCAGCAGCAGAGAGAGGAAGAAAGCAGAGAGGACUCAUGGGUUGCAGAGAAGUCUACAUAUAAGCACAUGUGAGCAUCGCAGGGGGUCUCCAGACCUUGUGUGUGUGUGUGUGUGUGUGUGUGUGUGUGUGUGUGUGUGUGUUAACUCAGUAGACCUGAGGCUGCUGCAGGUUCUGGUGAAGCCAAAGCCACAGGCAGAGGCCUAGUUACUAAAUCUGUGAUCCAGUGUUUACUUCUCUGCUGGAAGGCUUAAGCAGAGAGAGGCUGUGGUACCAGUUCUUGCUGCAAUAUUACCCCCCCAUCACAAAUUCUUUUAAUUAAACAGUUGGAAUCAUAUGUUAAAAAUACUCCAGAGAACUAUGUAAAUUUAUGUAAAAAAUACAUUAAAACCAAAUAAUCACAUAAUGGGUAGAUUUUUUUUUAACAUGUAUUUCUCAAAUAAAAUUCCUACAGAUGUAUGCAUAUAUGUAUGUAUAUGUACGUAUAUGUGAGUACGUGUGUGUGUAUAUAUAUAACGAGUUAUAUAUGAAUUAAAUCCUUAAGCAAAGAGCAAAAAGAAUAUUUCUCUUUCUCUCUCUCUCUCUUUUUUUAGGGCUGUACCCGCAGCCUAUGGAAGUUCCAAGGCCAGGGGUUGAACUGGAGCCACAGCCACAGAAACGCCAGAUCCUUAACCCACUGAGCAAAGCCAGGGAUCCAACCCAUGUCUUCAUGGGUACUAGUUGGGUUCAUUACCACUGAGCCACGAUGGGAACUCUGAGAGUAUUUCUCUUUAAAGUUUUCUAUUAUUAAUGAUUUCUAGGGAAGAAAGGUGGCAGUGCACUUUUUGGAGGGGAGAAGGGGGAGUCGGAGCUAGCCUCACCAGAGACAACUCCGAUACUAUCUUCAUCUGGAAUAAGUGUUUGAUAUCUGUUUGUGAGACAGAUUCCAGAAAAGGAGAAUAUUAAAUAAGUUAAAGGAAAGCCAAAAAUAUUUCCCCUUCACUAAUAGUCUAAAUAUUCACAAGACAUUUAUCACUAUGAAAUGCAUGACUGUGAGACUCUAAUUAAAUUGCUAUUUCUAGCCCUUGAGCUACAGUGAGAAUUCUAUAAAGGAGGCCAUAAACCAGUUAUCAACUAUUUUAAUCACAGUUUGAAUUAACACAAGAAAACAGUACCCAAGGAGAGGGCAUAAUUUUUACUCACAUUCAACAGGCUUAAAAUUCCAAACCAGACAGCAAGUUCUCCAUAGACAAGGUCUGUUCCUCUUAUUUCUCUGUUUACACUUAGGGCCCUGAAUAGGGCUCUGCAGAGUCUGUACUGCAUAAAUCUUACAGGCUGACUUGCAAGAGUCUCUUAAAAAAAUCAUAAAAACAUCAUUUAACUCAAAUUCCAGGUUAGAACAUCCUGUGAGGCUCUCUGCCCAGUAAUCAUAAACUCAUCAUGUAAUGAUGUCAGCAACUGGACAUGCUCACAAACCUCAUGCAAAGGCAUUCGUGUUGCUAAAUCUGCACAGAGGAAGUCUCUGGCUUGCUGUCAAAAAUCAGACAUGUGGACAUUGUGAUUCAGCGUUGUCCUAGCAUCAAUUCAAGAACCAGCAAGGAAAAGGAAAUGAGAAGAAAGAAAUGAAUUUGUAGAUUAGAUGCAAAGGAUGCCAUAUCCUGACAGUUCCUGCCUCUUACUCUCUUUGGGUCCCUGCAAGCCCGCCCUGGCCAUGUGGGUUUCCAGAAUCACACAUAUAGAUGUUGAUGGGGUCACCACUCAGGCUGCUCUCCAGAAAAAUGAGAACCUCUAAACAGGGACAUUGGAAACAUCUGUUCAACAAUUAUUUGUAAGUAUCCAGUAUGUGCCACUUAUUGAUCUAAUUAGUAGGGCUCCAAGCGUGAGCAAAACUGGUCCUCUGAUUUUUAGGAGAUUCAAAAAACUCUGGAAAGAAAAGAAGUAUCAAAUACUUUGAAGAGAAUGAAUUAUAAAUUAUGGAGCAGUUAUCUUACUCAUAAAUAUGCACUUAAUGCUCGCAAUGACACAUAGUCAAAAUUUUAGCCUGGUUCUGCUUCAAGCCACCAGCUUCAUGUCACCAUGGGAGCUGGAAAGCACUAGCAAGGGUCCUCUAGUGUCUUUUUGGGCUCUAAUUUGUAAUCAUCUUUUCCUCUUUUUGGGGGGGAAGGUGGUGGUGCCUGCUAUAUGCAGAAAUUCUCCUGGGCCAGGGAUUGAACCCACACCAUAGCAGUAACCCAAGCCACAGAAGUGACAAUGCCGGGUCCUCCACCUGCUGGGCCACUAGAGAACUCCUUCCCCUUUUUAAAAUUAUUCUGAUUUGACUCUUUCCUCUCAAGUCUCAUUGCUGCUUUUGCCUUCUGGUCUUGCACCUACCAAGGUUUCACCAACUAAAUAUGUAUUUAUUUAUUUAUUUUUAUUUAGGAAGUUUUCAAGUGUGCACAAAGUUGACUGCAUCAUGAGUCGACAAAUGAUUCAUUUUUAUUAUACGAUGAAUUUCCAUGGACUUAUCCCGGCGCUUCAGCCAUCAUCAUUGUUUUGCCAAUCUUAUUGCAUGUGUCUUUGCUGCCUUUUUUACAAUGUCAGUUUUAUUUUCAUCACUUGAGAUAUUUCAAUUUUGAAUGAUCACUGAUACAUCAAACAGGAUUUCUAGUCAGGGGGCUUAAUGCCUAGCAAAGAGUAGACCUCAAAAUAUUUGCCACAUGAAAUAUGCUUCCGUGAAACAUGUACAGUGCUUUUACAGUGGGAGAAGUUUUCAGGUUGUCUAGGGUUGGAAAAAAAGAUAGACAUUCUGAGUUCAGUGUUAGAAGGUGAGGCCUAGGAGAACUCCUCUGUAGGACAUGCCAAGCUUGUCCAGCUGUCUCUGUCCUGUUUUCCAUCCACAGCCCAGUCAAAGGAGGUAUUCAAACAGCAAAGGAGGGGAGCAAGCGUGGCAUGGUAGCAGCACCAAAGGUAAAGCCCAUCUGUCCUGAAGCCUUUUAUUAUAAAAUUUGUAUCUACUUUCCAGGCUCAUAAGUGGUACCAAUUUCCUGGAAAUACAUUUCCUCAAGCAUAUUUGAUUCAUUAUACAGGUUUAACUGUAUCC